rnacentral:rRNA from 1 species
UGGUUCUGGCAUCGAUGAAGAACGCAGCGAAAUGCGAUAAGUAAUGUGAAUUGCAGAAUUCAGUGAAUCAUCGAAUCUUUGAACGCACAUUGCGCCCGCCAGUAUUCUGGCGGGCAUGCCUGUCCGAGCGUCAUU